rnacentral:rRNA from 1 species
GACGAACGCUGGCGGCGUGCUUAACACAUGCAAGUCGAACGAAGUGACGAACGGGUGAGUAACGCGUAAUCAACCUGCCCUUCAGAGGGGGACAACAGUUGGAAACGACUGCUAAUACCACAUACUGAAGGAGGGGAUUGCGUCUGAUUAGCUAGUUGGAGGGGUAACGGCCCACGAAGGCGAUGAUCAGUAGCCGGUCUGAGAGGAAGGACGGCCAACUUGGGACUGAGACACGGCCCAGACUCCUGCGGGAGGUAGCAGUGGGGACUCUUACGCGAUGGAGGAGAGACUGACAGAGCAACGCGGCGUGAGUGAUGACGGCCUUCGGGUUGUAGAGCUCUGUUAAUCGGGACGCGGUACCGGAAUAGAAAGCCACGGCUAACUACGUGCCAGCAGCCGCGGUAAUUC